AGUGGAAUCUCUAAAAAGACUUAUAUUUAGGAACGGAGGGAGUACUACAUAACUUGGACGUGGAUGGAAUAUAAUGCAUUCUACCAUGCAUAUCCAAUAUUUAGGAUCUCCCGCAAAAGAAAUUCCAAUGUUUAGGACUUCACAAAAACAUGGGUAUGUGUCAUCGUAAAAUUUGUGAGGAUGGCCGUUCAGCUCAUCGACCUUCUGUUUUUUUAACAUACUGCUCGACCAUUUUUUUAAGGGAGACCCCUCGACCUUUUUGCGUCGUGCCUUAGGCUAAAAUGUGGUUUUGGGCCAACAGCGUAACACUCGGCUAUACGGGCCUGGAAACUUGCCACUGGGCCAGCUGUAUGGAGGCCCACUCAGAAACGCCAACACAGGUCAGUUCCCUGCCUCUAUGUCGAGCGGAAAAAGAAAAGAAUCUUCUCAAAAAAUAAACUGUCGAGCGGAAAAAGAAAAGAAUCUUCUCAAAAAAUAAACUGUCGAGCUGAGCAGCACUGCGCCGCCGCCCCUCCUCCUGUCUCUGGCCCCGCGGCCCGCCGAACGCCGACCCGAGGACCGCGAGGGCGUCGGGGAAGCGCACGACCCGGACAUCCUGCAAUCGUGCUCGGCUGCUCGCCUCGCCCAGCCCAAUCGUCAUUAGCAGCCAUGGCCUGAAUCCGGCAGCCACGGCCUCAAACAGCACACCCCGACAGGCGGCACACUUCAUGCUUACACGGCUCCUCCGCUAUUGCACCGGCGAGUAGCACCGACCGUAGCAUCACUGCAUCAACAUACGGUGGUCAGCAGGCAGCAGCACCGUUCCAAAAAUAAAGAACAAGUCUGGUGAUUGAAACAUGUGUGCACCCAUUCCUUGCUUACAAAAGAAAUCCCGGACGGAGGGAGUAGAAGCUACACUAUCUAUGCUGAUGUUUGUAAAUUUCCUUCUUGGUUUAUCUCCUGUGUAAGUUCCUGCAAAUUGGUAGAGGGCGCAGUGUGCUAACUCAUGGUCUUACUGCCCAGGCGCAUCAGAUCACUAUUAGUAAUCUAUGGAUGGGGCAUGUCCCUCCAGUGUUGAGUUGGCUUGUAAUGACUCUGUAACUCUGAUUCCCUAUGAGUAUUCAGAAAAGGAAGGAAACUGACCUAUGCCCA